GACGAACGCUGGCGGCGUGCCUAAUACAUGCAAGUCGAACGCAGUUGCGAACGGGUGAGUAACGCGUCGGUCACUGCCUAGUAGAGGGGGCUAACUAUUGGCAACGAUAGCUAAUACCGCAUACUAGUAGAUGGACCUGCGUUGUAUUAGCUAGUAGGUCGGGUAAUGGCCUACCUAGGCGACGGUACAUAGCCGAGCUGGGAGGGGGAUCGGCCCAACUGGGACCGAGACAAGGGCCAGACUCCCACGGGAGGGAGGAGGAGGGAAUCUUUGGCAAAGGGGGGAACCCUGACCGAGCAACGCCGCGGGAGUGAAGAAGGGUUUCGGGUCGUAAAGCUCUGUUGUUAAGGAAGCGGUACUUACCCAGAAAGGGACGGCUAACUACGUGCCAGCAGCCGCGGUAAUAC
rnacentral:rRNA from 1 species